rnacentral:rRNA from 1 species
UACGAAGGGGGCUAGCGUUGUUCGGAUUUACUGGGCGUAAAGCGCACGUAGGCGGAUCGUUAAGUCGGGGGUGAAAUCCUGGAGCUCAACUCCAGAACUGCCUUCGAUACUGGCGAUCUAGAGUCCGGAAGAGGUGAGUGGAACUCCUAGUGUAGAGGUGGAAUUCGUAGAUAUUAGGAAGAACACCAGUGGCGAAGGCGACUCACUGGUCCGGUACUGACGCUGAGGUGCGAAAGCGUGGGGAGCAAACAGG